UGUGAAUCAGUGCUGAUUCUGCCCAUACUU
rnacentral:piRNA from 1 species